rnacentral:lncRNA from 1 species
UGUUCAACAGUUUUCUCUGCUUUCGUCUUUGAGGUACGAAGGCAUUUACGAUUGAGUAAUAUGAAUUGCUCCCACUCCAGCUUUUCUGAAACGUUCGAAUGGACCCUAAUUUACAGACAACAGCAAGAUAAAAGUCAUGGUCUAAUGAUACGGCUGUGCCCUUUAUCCAGCUGGAUGGGGUAAGCUCGCAGGCUUCUGGAACCUUGGAACACUGGGGAGACUUAAUUAUAACAGAAUUUUUCCAUAUACCAGACUAAUGCAGGAAUAGAGUAUGGGUAAAUGAGAACACCAAAGCUCCUGGAGGUUGCUUUGGUCCUGGCAUUUUAUUGCAGUCACCGAAAAGUAACUGAUAAUCAGUAGCCCAGAGAUUGAGAAGGGAGACUUGUAGGUGAAGACGAGGAAUCGUGAGAGAUAAAGGAAUGGGUGUGGGUUGAAAACCCAGGGCCCCAAAACUCUGAAGAGUGUCCCUCAGGUGCAUCCACUUAGAACCCCAGGACAUGACCUCCUUUGGAUAGAAGGCAUUUGCAGAUAUAAUUAGUGGAAGAUUUGACAUUAACACUGCUUAAGGGUGACCUUUUGGACUACAUCCUUGGCACAGACGCAAAGCUUGUUAAAGCUAAUACCUUGUUUAAUGGAACCUUGAAGAUCAAAGGCAGAAGAUCAGGGCAAGCAAGUCUCUUCCAAGACCCUGAAAGUCAUUUUCCUCCUGCACAGUUUUGACGUUCCGCCUCCCCGUUUGUUCUGAGCUGUAAU